rnacentral:rRNA from 1 species
CAGUCGACGGAAUCGUUAUUAAUGGAAAUAAGAUUUAUCUGAAAUAAGUUAAUAACAAUGAUUUUAGUGGCGGACUGGUGAGUAACACGUAAGCAACCUGCCUAUUAGAGGGGAAUAACAGUGAGAAAUCACUGCUAAUACCGCAUAAGCUAACACUAUUGCAUGAUAGAGUUAGAAAAGGAGAAAUCCGCUAAUAGAUGGGCUUGCGUCCGAUUAGCUAGUUGGUGGGGCAAAGGCCUACCAAGGCAACGAUCGGUAGCCGAGCUGAGAGGCUCAACGGCCACAUUGGGACUGAGAUACGGCCCAGACUCCUACGGGAGGCAGCAGUCGGGAAUAUUGCACAAUGGAGGAAACUCUGAUGCAGUGACACCGCGUAUAGGAAGAAGGUUUUCGGAUUGUAAACUAUUUUAGACAGGGAAGAAAAAAGACAGUACCUGUAGAAUAAGCUCCGGCUAACUACGUGCCAGCAGCCGCGGUAAUACGUAGGGAGCAAGCGUUAUCCGGAAUUAUUGGGUGUAAAGGGUGCGUAGACGGGACAGCAAGUUAGUUGUGAAAGCCCUCGGCUUAACUGAGGAACUGCAACUAAAACUAUUGUUCUUGAGUGCAGGAGAGGAAAGGGGAAUUCCUAGUGUAGCGGUGAAAUGCGUAGAUAUUAGGAGGAACACCAGUGGCGAAGGCGGCUUUCUGGACUGUAACUGACGUUGAGGCACGAAAGUGUGGGGAGCNAACAGGAUUAGAUACCNUGGUAGUCCACACUGUAAACGAUGGAUACUAGGUG